rnacentral:rRNA from 1 species
ACUGUGUCAUCACUAAGGUCAUACUGUUCUCUGAGAGUCAACAGUGCAUGCACGAAAUGAUGCUUGCCACCACUUUCCUUAAGGGCCUUCGCAUGCUCUUCUAUGAUCUUCUUGGUCAGGUGAUCCCUUCUCUCAUUGUGGGUCUUGUAAAGCUCCUCAUUAAGUGGAAACAGCCAUCUCAAGUACCAAACAUAUUCAGCAAUAGAGAGAGAUGCACCUAUUUUUAUCCCGUUGUUGACAAUACUCUUGAACUCCUGCCCUUCUUCGUUAAUGUCACCAUUUGCAUUCAUGAACCGCUUCCCAAAAACUAGCCGUGUUAUAUUGUUGAAAGACACCAUAGCAAGGUGACUCCUCACAACUAAUGGCUUUCCUUCAUUACCUAAAAACAUUUGA